CUUUCUCUCUCUUUAUUUUCUCUCCUCUCUCCUUCUGUUUAUUGCUUCUGUCCUCUCUUUCCUAUCCUCAUCUUUCUCUUCACUCUCCUCCUCUCGCUCUUCACUCUUUCUGCUUCUUUAUCUUUCUCUCUUCUCUUCUCCUCCCCUCUUCUUUCUCUUUUAUUUUCUUUCAUUUUCUCCUUCUUCUCUCUCUUCUCUUAUCUUCUCUCUCUUCUGCUCUUUCCCUCUUUAUUAUCUCCUCUUUUUCUCUUUUCUCUCUCUCUUUCUCCUCCCUUCUCUCCCCUCAACCGAACCGUUGGCUAAGCUGUCGGACCACUCUCUCUUCUCCCUUUCUAUCUCUCCCUUCUCUCCCCACAAUCUGAUUGAUGACUAAGCCGCCGACCCUCUUUCUC
rnacentral:lncRNA from 1 species